UCUAUUCUAAUUAGCAUCGUCUCUGAUAAUUCAAAUAUUCCAGGAAGUGGUUAAUCGACCGGAUGUUGUUUUGUGAUCAGUGAUGCGUUUCCAGGGGACGUUCUUUGAGGGGACACAUUAAACUUUGAGGAAGUAGUGUGUUGUUCAGUGUUCACGGUUUAUAUUGCUGAAGGACAAUUACAAGUCUAAACGGAGAAGAGUCGUCAUUUCAAGAUGUUUUCGCGGACGUAUUGGCAUGUGGAUGUUGACAGUGUCGGAAGUAUUAAUCAAAGGUGACACGAGAAGUUGGAGCGAAUGCGAGAAGAGCAUGCGAUGAGCUGCCUGCCUGCCUGCUGCUACCUACUGCCUACUCCUGCUGCUGCCGCUGCUGCUGUUGCAUCCAAUGUUGGGUAGCCAGCCACCCAUGCAUGUUGACACAGCCAGCAGCGGGCACCCAUGGCACAUGGGGAUGGACCAAGGAGUGGAGGAUGACCCAAUAGGGUGAGUUAGUGAGCUAAUGUCAUACACAUGUAAUUGUUUUAGGUGUAUGGGAAAUAAUUAAAUGUUUGUUUACAUUGUACAGAUGAACGUUCAGCCCACUCACUGUUGACACCAGUGACACAGUAUUGACCAGAUCUCCUGGAAGUGCCCCCUGACGCAGACCCAGUUGUUGGGUAGCCACCCAUGCACGUUGACACAGCCAGCACCGAGCACCCAGGGGGAUGGAACCAGGAAUGGAGGAUGGUCCAAUAGGGUAGCAUCAUGAAGGCAGUUUACCCCUGAAACUUUUUACAAAGGACCAUCAUCGUCAGAGAAGUUCCUUUAACCCUUUAUCUCCCAUAGCGGCCGUGAACGCCCGGCCACCUCUCUCCCAUAACGCCCGCCGACACCCGGAGUAUUUUCAUAGCUGAACAGAAGUCAUCAUGCAGUUUCUACAGCUUUCACUUUAGAUCACUAUUACAGACUCUCAAUAUAUUUUUAUUAUAAAAACUAUUUUGGGAAAUCCUGAACUACAGUGCAAAGUGGCUGAGCUCAAAAGUACGGGCUCGCUGCUGCUGCCCAGUAGAAAAUAUCUUUUAAAUGCAGUACAGUUCCUAAUUGUGCGCUCAUGUGGUAAUUACGUAAAUACCAAACACUGACAUCCGAAGCACACAUGAACGCCACCGGCCCUUGUAGAAAAUUUUGAUUAAUGAAUGCACUAUAUCUCUUCUCUUGCCUACCUCUCUUCUCCACAAGCUCUCCCCUCAUCUAAUCUCUUCAUUUUGCUAGUCCUCAUCUCUCUUUCUUCAUUGUGUUACUGUUUAAGCUGAUAACUGUUACUUUUAAAAAUUAAAUAGUUAAAGAUA